rnacentral:rRNA from 1 species
GGUUAAGCGACUAAGCGUACACGGUGGAUGCCCUGGCAGUCAGAGGCGAUGAAGGACGUGCUAAUCUGCGAUAAGCGUCGGUAAGGUGAUAUGAACCGUUAUAACCGGCGAUUUCCGAAUGGGGAAACCCAGUGUGAUUCGUCACACUAUCAUUAACUGAAUCCAUAGGUUAAUGAGGCGAACCGGGGGAACUGAAACAUCUAAGUACCCCGAGGAAAAGAAAUCAACCGAGAUUCCCCCAGUAGCGGCGAGCGAACGGGGAGGAGCCCAGAGCCUGAAUCAGUGUGUGUGUUAGUGGAAGCGUCUGGAAAGGCGCGCGAUACAGGGUGACAGCCCCGUACACAAAAAUGCACAUACUGUGAGCUCGAUGAGUAGGGCGGGACACGUGGUAUCCUGUCUGAAUAUGGGGGGACCAUCCUCCAAGGCUAAAUACUCCUGACUGACCGAUAGUGAACCAGUACCGUGAGGGAAAGGCGAAAAGAACCCCGGCGAGGGGAGUGAAAAAGAACCUGAAACCGUGUACGUACAAGCAGUGGGAGCCUCUUAAUGGGGUGACUGCGUACCUUUUGUAUAAUGGGUCAGCGACUUAUAUUCUGUAGCAAGGUUAACCGAAUAGGGGAGCCGAAGGGAAACCGAGUCUUAACUGGGCGUUAAGUUGCAGGGUAUAGACCCGAAACCCGGUGAUCUAGCCAUGGGCAGGUUGAAGGUUGGGUAACACUAACUGGAGGACCGAACCGACUAAUGUUGAAAAAUUAGCGGAUGACUUGUGGCUGGGGGUGAAAGGCCAAUCAAACCGGGAGAUAGCUGGUUCUCCCCGAAAGCUAUUUAGGUAGCGCCUCGUGAAUUCAUCUCCGGGGGUAGAGCACUGUUUCGGCAAGGGGGUCAUCCCGACUUACCAACCCGAUGCAAACUGCGAAUACCGGAGAAUGUUAUCACGGGAGACACACGGCGGGUGCUAACGUCCGUCGUGAAGAGGGAAACAACCCAGACCGCCAGCUAAGGUCCCAAAGUCAUGGUUAAGUGGGAAACGAUGUGGGAAGGCCCAGACAGCCAGGAUGUUGGCUUAGAAGCAGCCAUCAUUUAAAGAAAGCGUAAUAGCUCACUGGUCGAGUCGGCCUGCGCGGAAGAUGUAACGGGGCUAAACCAUGCACCGAAGCUGCGGCAGCGACACUAUGUGUUGUUGGGUAGGGGAGCGUUCUGUAAGCCUGUGAAGGUGUACUGUGAGGUAUGCUGGAGGUAUCAGAAGUGCGAAUGCUGACAUAAGUAACGAUAAAGCGGGUGAAAAGCCCGCUCGCCGGAAGACCAAGGGUUCCUGUCCAACGUUAAUCGGGGCAGGGUGAGUCGACCCCUAAGGCGAGGCCGAAAGGCGUAGUCGAUGGGAAACAGGUUAAUAUUCCUGUACUUGGUGUUACUGCGAAGGGGGGACGGAGAAGGCUAUGUUGGCCGGGCGACGGUUGUCCCGGUUUAAGCGUGUAGGCUGGUUUUCCAGGCAAAUCCGGAAAAUCAAGGCUGAGGCGUGAUGACGAGGCACUACGGUGCUGAAGCAACAAAUGCCCUGCUUCCAGGAAAAGCCUCUAAGCAUCAGGUAACAUCAAAUCGUACCCCAAACCGACACAGGUGGUCAGGUAGAGAAUACCAAGGCGCUUGAGAGAACUCGGGUGAAGGAACUAGGCAAAAUGGUGCCGUAACUUCGGGAGAAGGCACGCUGAUAUGUAGGUGAAGCGACUUGCUCGUGGAGCUGAAAUCAGUCGAAGAUACCAGCUGGCUGCAACUGUUUAUUAAAAACACAGCACUGUGCAAACACGAAAGUGGACGUAUACGGUGUGACGCCUGCCCGGUGCCGGAAGGUUAAUUGAUGGGGUUAGCGGUAACGCGAAGCUCUUGAUCGAAGCCCCGGUAAACGGCGGCCGUAACUAUAACGGUCCUAAGGUAGCGAAAUUCCUUGUCGGGUAAGUUCCGACCUGCACGAAUGGCGUAAUGAUGGCCAGGCUGUCUCCACCCGAGACUCAGUGAAAUUGAACUCGCUGUGAAGAUGCAGUGUACCCGCGGCAAGACGGAAAGACCCCGUGAACCUUUACUAUAGCUUGACACUGAACAUUGAGCCUUGAUGUGUAGGAUAGGUGGGAGGCUUUGAAGUGUGGACGCCAGUCUGCAUGGAGCCGGCCUUGAAAUACCACCCUUUAAUGUUUGAUGUUCUAACGUUGGCCCCUGAUCGGGGUUGCGGACAGUGUCUGGUGGGUAGUUUGACUGGGGCGGUCUCCUCCUAAAGAGUAACGGAGGAGCACGAAGGUUGGCUAAUCCUGGUCGGACAUCAGGAGGUUAGUGCAAUGGCAUAAGCCAGCUUGACUGCGAGCGUGACGGCGCGAGCAGGUGCGAAAGCAGGUCAUAGUGAUCCGGUGGUUCUGAAUGGAAGGGCCAUCGCUCAACGGAUAAAAGGUACUCCGGGGAUAACAGGCUGAUACCGCCCAAGAGUUCAUAUCGACGGCGGUGUUUGGCACCUCGAUGUCGGCUCAUCACAUCCUGGGGCUGAAGUAGGUCCCAAGGGUAUGGCUGUUCGCCAUUUAAAGUGGUACGCGAGCUGGGUUUAGAACGUCGUGAGACAGUUCGGUCCCUAUCUGCCGUGGGCGCUGGAGAACUGAGGGGGGCUGCUCCUAGUACGAGAGGACCGGAGUGGACGCAUCACUGGUGUUCGGGUUGUCAUGCCAAUGGCACUGCCCGGUAGCUAAAUGCGGAAGAGAUAAGUGCUGAAAGCAUCUAAGCACGAAACUUGCCCCGAGAUGAGUUCUCCCUGACUCCUUGAGAGUCCUGAAGGAACGUUGAAGACGACGACGUUGAUAGGCCGGGUGUGUAAGCGCAGCGAUGCGUUGAGCUAACCGGUACUAAUGAACCGUGAGGCUUAACCUU